rfam:Echinostoma caproni strain Egypt genome assembly, scaffold: ECPE_scaffold0021610
GCACUGCUGAAGAGUCUCAAACAGGACAAAACAGCUGUCCAGUGC